rnacentral:rRNA from 1 species
CGGUGCGAUCAUACUAGCAUUAAUGCAUCAGUUCCCAUCAGAACUCCACAGUUAAUCACGCUUGGGAUAGAGUAGUACUGGGAUGGGUGACCUCGCGGGAAGUCAUAGUGUUGCACCCU